GAUGAACGCUGGCGGCGUGCCUAAUACAUGCAAGUCGAGCGAACGGACGAGAAGCUUGCUUCUUUGAUGUUAGCGGCGGACGUGUGAGUAACACGUGGAUAACCUACCUAUAAGACUGGUAUAAUUUCGGGAAACCGGAGCUAAUACCGGAUGAUAUUUUGAACCGCAUGGGGCAAUAGUGAAAGACGGUCUUGCUGUCAGUUAUAGCUGGAUCCGCGCUGCAUUAGCUAGUUGGUAAGUUAACGGCUUACCAAGGCAACGAUGCAUAGCCGACCUGAGGGGGUGAUCGGCCGCACUGGAACUGGGACACGGUCCAGACUCCUACGGGAGGCAGCAGUAGGGAAUCUUCCGCAAUGGGCGAAAACCUGACGGAGCAACGCCGCGUGAGUGAUGAAGGUCUUCGGAUCGUAAAACUCUGUUAUUAGGGAAGAACAUAUGUGUAAGUAACUGUGCACAUCUUGACGGUACCUAAUCAGAAAGCCACGGCUAACUACGUG
rnacentral:rRNA from 1 species